AAUGAACGCUGGCGGCAGGCCUAACACAUGCAAGUCGAACGGAUCCUUCGGGAUUAGUGGCGGACGGGUGAGUAACGCGUGGGAACAUACCCUUUGGUACGGAAUAGCCUCGGGAAACUGGGAGUAAUACCGUAUGUGGUCGAGAGACGAAAGAUUUAUCGCCAAAGGAUUGGCCCGCGUUGGAUUAGGUAGUUGGUGGGGUAAUGGCCUACCAAGCCGACGAUCCAUAGCUGGUUUGAGAGGAUGAUCAGCCACACUGGGACUGAGACACGGCCCAGACUCCUACGGGAGGCAGCAGUGGGGAAUCUUAGACAAUGGGGAAAACCUGAUCUAGCCAUGCCGCGUGAUCGAUGAAGGCCUUAGGGUUGUAAAGAUCUUUCAGGUGGGAAGAUGAUGACUGUACCACCAGAAGAAGCCCCGGCUAACUCCGUGCCAGCCGCCGCGGUAA
rnacentral:rRNA from 1 species